rnacentral:rRNA from 1 species
GACGAACGCUGGCGGCGUGCCUAAUACAUGCAAGUCGAGCGGGGUUGUCGGAGUGGAGUCCUUCGGGAUGAAGCACCGUCAACCUAGCGGCGGACGGGUGAGUAACGCGUGGGUAACCUGCCCUAAAGCCCGGGAUAACACCGGGAAACUGGUGCUAACACCGGAUACCUUCCGAAGAGGGCAUCCUUUUUGGAAGAAAGGUUAACGCUUUAGGAUGGGCCCGCGUCCCAUUAGCUAGUUGGUGAGGUAACGGCUCACCAAGGCAGUGAUGGGUAGCCGGCCUGAGAGGGUGGACGGCCACACUGGGACUGAGACACGGCCCAGACUCCUACGGGAGGCAGCAGUAGGGAAUAUUGCGCAAUGGGCGAAAGCCUGACGCAGCGACGCCGCGUGGGUGAUGAAGGCCUUCGGGUUGUAAAACCCUGUCCUUGGGGAAGAAGGAAGUGACGGUACCCAAGGAGGAAGCCCCGGCUAACUACGUG